UUUAUGGAGAGUUUGAUCCUGGCUCAGGAUGAACGCUGGCGGCGUGCCUAAUACAUGCAAGUCGAGCGAACGGACGAGAAGCUUGCUUCUCUGAUGUUAGCGGCGGACGGGUGAGUAACACGUGGAUAACCUACCUAUAAGACUGGGAUAACUUCGGGAAACCGGAGCUAAUACCGGAUAAUAUUUUGAACCGCAUGGUUCAAAAGUGGAAGACGGUCUUGCUGUCACUUAUAGAUGGAUCCGCGCUGCAUUAGCUAGUUGGUAAGGUAACGGCUUACCAAGGCAACGAUGCAUAGCCGACCUGAGAGGGUGAUCGGCCACACUGGAACUG
rnacentral:rRNA from 1 species